UUGGAGACCCACUAUCUACAU
rnacentral:siRNA from 1 species